GCUGUUAAGGGUUCGUAGUUGAAUUGGGGGUUGCCGAGUAAACGGCGGCGCUCCAUUUCGGUGGGCUCAACCACCGUUCUCGCAACUCGAGAACAUUCGAAACAAACAUCACGGGAUCGUUUCUUUCCAAAUUUCGCAUACAAUGUAUGCAGGGGGACGCCCGUGUUUCUUACUGUGCAAAAGAAGGGUGACCAAAGCAGUCAUUCGACGUGAAUUAGAAAGCAUGGGAUAACAAAGGGCGGCCUAUGGGCUUCCGUUCUGGCUUUUGUUGGUUUUAAACGUCUGUGGGAGAUUGUGGGUGCGCAGACCGGCUGCACGGGAUACGUUCCCGACAGUCCUCUAGGUUGGCUCCGGCUGCCUGGACUUGCUGUUCCCAGGAAUGAAGGAGGGUAGUUCGGGGGAGAACGUACUUGGCGUGAGAGGUGAAAUUCUUAGACCGCUCAAAGACGAACUACAGCGAAGGCAUUCUCCAGGAUACCUUCCUCAAUCAAGAACCAAAGUGUGGAGAUCGAAGAUGAUUAGAUACCAUUGUGUCC
rnacentral:rRNA from 1 species